CUUACUUCCGGUCACCUGUCUCUAAAAACUCUCUUGCACAGUUCGGGCUCUUGUAACGCUGGAAGUGUGUGUCUGUAUACCUGCUUGCGCAGUGCUCUCGCGUAUGCGGCGGCGGGGAGCGCCACCGUCGAGUCAAGUGCGUGGACAAAGUGACGCAGAAAGAGGUUCCCCAGAAGUCCUGCUACCUCCACACGCAGCACCUGAAGCCCCCAGAAAAGUCCACGUGCAACGUCGACCCGUGCGUGCCGUGGCAAACAUCGGAGUGGUCAAGGUGUUCAGUGAGGUGCGGACCGGGCACGCGACAGCGCGAAGUGAGCUGUCCGCUGCGCGACCGGUGCGACCCGGCGCGAAGACCUUCCAACUCGAGCGCCUGCAACCGUGGGCCAUGCCACGACUCAACGCCCGGUUCUUCGACGCGGCUAGUACCGUAGAGAACGACGGCGGACCGACUCCGUGCCGGGAUGUUUCGAUGCCCCGUUUGUCCCACCUAGCCCUCGGGCAUUUGCCGGGUGCCCACCACGGGCCGCUGCGUUGCCGUCGCCGCCGCCUCCACCCGUGUGAUUUCGUGUUUUUUUUUUUUGUUUUUUGUUUUUUAUGAUUCAACAUGCAGUCGGAUUGUUGUGGAAGGCCGCCCGCGCCCGCCGUUGGUACCAAGAGCCAGUGCGUUAGCACCAGUUAACACCAGAUGCAUAUACUGUGGCGUGUCUCUCUAUCUCUCUUUCCGGAAGUAGCACACCAAUUUCCCUGUGCACGUGUCUUUUAAGUGCUACACAUUAUACCACCCAAGUGUGUGCAUCUCAAUUCGGAACGAGCGAGCGAGUUGCGGCGAGUUUCCAAGAGGUCGUGGACCCUUGCAAGUGCGGUGACCGAUUCUUCAUUCAGCCUCUCCCCUUAUUUCUUUUAUCCUUUAGAUAAUAUAAGAAGCGUCACAAACGCACAUUAGAGUGCUCGCCAAAUCCAGCCCCCCUACCCUCUCCCCCAUCACCCUUGCCCCUCAUCGUUACAUUUCUCACCAAGCACCCUCUCAACUUAUUGCUCCUCCCACUUCUUGGCCAUAACGAUCAAAGACACACCACCAAUGCCAAAUAGUAUUGCGCCUGGCAUCAUCGGGCUUUUUUUCGCAACCCACUCCCACCCCGACUGUCCACCAAAGGAGCCACCCUCUUGUACCGGGUGGUGGACGUUAUUGUGCAUGGUACAGCGAAGUACACACCUUGUACCUGUGUCUCCUUUUGAAACGUUCAAUGUUUGUUGCUGCGUAGCAGCAUUUUUUUUUUUUUUUGAAGUUAUAGCGUACAUGAUAAAGAAAAAAAAAAAAAGAAGAAAAAGUCGCAACUGCGACAGAUAUGUUCGAGAGCACGCGUAGUGCGUUUACCUCCCUUUGUAUAUUUAUAUAUAAAAA